rnacentral:rRNA from 1 species
UACGUAGGGGGCGAGCGUUGUCCGGAAUUAUUGGGCGUAAAGAGCGUGUAGGCUGUUCGGUAAGUCUGCCGUGAAAACCUGAGGCUCAACCUCGGGCGUGCGGUGGAUACUGCCGGGCUAGAGGACGGUAGAGGCGAGUGGAAUUCCCGGUGUAGCGGUGAAAUGCGCAGAUAUCGGGAGGAACACCAGUAGCGAAGGCGAUGCUCUGGGCCGGAACUGACGCUGAGGAGCGAAAGCGUGGGGAGCAAACAGG